rnacentral:tRNA from 1 species
AUCACUGUAGUGCAAUGGAUAGCGCGUUGGACUUCUAAUCCAAAGGUCGUGGGUUCGACUCCCACCGGGGAUG